AUGCAGGUUACCCGCGACAGGACGGAAAGACCCCGUGGAGCUUUACUGCAGCCUGAUAUUGAAUGUUGGUACAGCUUGUACAGGAUAGGUAGGAGCCUUGGAAACCGGAGCGCCAGCUUCGGUGGAGGCAUCGGUGGGAUACUACCCUGGCUGUAUUGACCUUCUAACCCGCCGCCCUUAUCGGGCGGGGAGACAGUGUCAGGUGGGCAGUUUGACUGGGGCGGUCGCCUCCUAAAAGGUAACGGAGGCGCCCAAAGGUUCCCUCAGAAUGGUUGGAAAUCAUUCGCAGAGUGUAAAGGCACAAGGGAGCUUGACUGCGAGACCUACAAGUCGAGCAGGGACGAAAGUCGGGCUUAGUGAUCCGGUGGUUCCG
rnacentral:rRNA from 1 species